GAUGAACGCUAGCGGCAGGCUUAAUACAUGCAAGUCGAGGGGCAUCACAGGUAGCAAUACUGGGUGGCGACCGGCAAACGGGUGCGGAACACGUACACAACUUACCUUAAGGUGGGGGAUAGCCCAGGGAAACUCGGAUUAAUACCCCAUAAAACAGGGGGCCCGCAUGGGUCAAUUGUUAAAGAUUUAUUUCCUUAAGAUGGGUGUGCGUCUGAGUAGGUAGGUGGUAGGGUAACGGCCUACCAAGCCGACGAUCAAUAACUGGUGUGAGAGCACGACCAGUCACACGGGCAAUGAGACACGGGCCCGACUCCCACGGGAGGCAGCAGUAAGGAAUAUUGGACAAUGGGCGCAAGCCUGAUCCAGCCAUACCGCGUGGGUGAAGAAGGCCUUCGGGUUGUAAAGCCCUUUUGUUGGGAAAGAAAUCCAGCUGGCUGAUACCCGGUUGGGAUGACGGUACCCAAAGAAUAAGCACCGGCUAACUUCGUGCCAGCAGCCGCCGUAAAAC
rnacentral:rRNA from 1 species